rnacentral:snRNA from 1 species
GAAAUUUUUCAAGUUAUUUCUAUUAAAAAAAUCGCAAAACAAUGCGGAGAAGAUUAGCGCGGCCACUGCGCGGAGAUGACGCUCAACUUUGUGGAACGUUCCAAACUUUU